UUGCUUCAGCAGCACAUAUACUAAAAUUGGAAUGAUACAGAGAAUAUUAGCUUGGCCCCUGCUUAAGGAUGAAACACAAAUUCCUGAAGUGAUUACUUUCCUU